UAAUAAACAAAGCACUAUAAAAGAUCAGAUUGAGGUAUUCCGUGCGCUCAUUCAAUGUCGGAGCAGGCACUCUGCACUCCACCGCUGCCACUUUCGGCCUCAAAAGCUGCUACGAGACUGAGGACUAGUAGUGGGAUUAGACUAGACCCCUUCCUCCCCUUCUGCGACCUUGCUGAAUUUAAGCGGAUCCCAUCUUUGUUCAGCCAAACCACACCUGAGAGCCAAGGGACAGAGGAAAAGAGGGCAGGAUAGAGACCCUUGGAUUUGCUCAUGUGGAUGCUGGAUCUUUACCUGACUUUCUUGGUCAAGCCUCAUGCCAGAUCCAGGUCUGUGUGGUGGAGCCCCUGGAAAUCCCCAAGAGCAGUCACCAGAGUGCACCAAAGUAGAGACCCCGACAGCAGGAGUAUUUAUACCAGCGGAAAGAUCUGCGACAUCUCACAGACUGAGGCUGAGGAGUGUAUCUGGUUUCUGCAGCAGAACAAAAUGGUGGCCCCUUUUCCUUCCAUGAAAGGAGACCUCACGGGGUUUCCUGUGAGAUUGUUAGCAAAUGAAUGAUCUUGCCUCUUAUGGACUCUGACUUUUAAAAAGGAUGUGGAAACAUAGCCACUAUUUUAAGUACUCCGUGGGACAGAGAAGCUGACACCAUAGCAGACUGCUGCUACUACUAUAACCAUGUGGUCAAGGAAGAAGAAGAAUCAAUGGCCUUUUUUUUUUUCUCCUCCUUCUUUUGCUAAACAAAGAAGCAAAAUGAGAACACCAAGCCUGGAGGAGAAUUAUGCGCGUGGCAGGACUUUUCGAGGUCUGGUGGAGCUGUUCAUAUAAACAAAUUAUGCAGUCCCUCCUUGGGUGACCUGGAUCCUGAGAGUCAGUUUGGUGGCCCGACAGCUUUCUAUCCUCUCCAUCACUGCUGAAAUGGUAGACGGGGGGGGGAGGAAUAUGGAGUCCAAAAAGGUCCAUGUGUAUUCUCCUGCCCUAUCACAACUUUGCACUGUUUGGGCAAACCCGUGGGAGAGAAAGCCCAGCCUGUAGGAGCAGGGAGAGAUCAGGAGUCAGCACAGGGAGGAGGAAGAAGGGAAGUCUGUCCCAUUGCCAUCUGGGGAAGGUGUGUCCCUGAUGGGAUGGGAGAAAAGAGAGCAAGCAGUCCCAGGGGUGGUUUAGGGGAAAUUAAUCCACUGGAGUUUUUCAAGAAAGAAAGGAAGAAUUUAGCACAGCUCAUCCAAAAGGGGAAGACUUGGGUCCAGAAUUCUCCUGUUGUCCUGCCAAAUGCAGACACACGCAUGCGCACACUCGGCCCCUGAUGACCCAGCCCCACUUGUGCCCCUGUCCUCUUGGUCUUUCCUCACUUAAAAAUCAUCUGGCAAAGCGGUUGGUCACUAUUCAUUUAGGAGGAUCCCAGCACUACCUUUAUGUUGGCUUCCAGUGAAAGGGAACCCAAACUUUUCAAAACAUCUGUUUUCACAGGUAAAGCACAAAGGCAGAACUUCACUGAGGGAGAGGGAGGGGGACAUUAUCUUUGUCCUUUUCUGCCGUUUCCUUCUAAAAAUGGCAGGCUCAUUUGGAAUUUCCCGUACCAGAAUAUUUCUCUGUGCAUCAAUUUCAGGAGGAUUUUUAGUUAAGAACCACAAAGUUUAUCUAUGCAGAGACGGGGAUUCCUGCUAAAGCCAGAGAAGAUGCUUCUACUAGGACACCUUAUGGCUGAUCUCAGGCCUCUCAUUGUCCGAAACGCUUAGUCUGAGAAUCCUAUUGAUGUACCAGAUAUCUUUAUUAAAUCAUUAUAUUAACAGAAAAUUUUCCCAUUACAAUGAGUUUCUCCCCGGGAUCAAAAGUUGUCCACAGUCCUGCUGAUGGCCUAUGUAUCUUGAAAUUUAAAAAGGUGAAAUUCCAGGGAAGUCCAACAUCCGGACAAAUUUUUCCAAAACGAACUGUGCUGUGGUUGCUAUGUUCUAGCCAGGAAAAGGCCCACGUCUUCUCAAAGCAGUUGUCUUUAGAUGGAAAGAAAAUGAAAAAUAGGCCUCCCAUCCACCCAUGGCAAUGUAAUCCUUGGCAGCAUUCUAAUAUAAUUUCACCUGUGGAGACCCAAUGGGUCUUUGGUUUGAAAACCCAAGUGGCAAAUAAACAAGCUGCACGGUACCAGCGAAUCCAGGGCUGCAGGGUGUGAAAUAGCAAAGUUAGGAGAAGCAGAGCAUGGUGUGUUUGUGUACUGGAUUUUGAAAUGGACUAAACACACACAUGUGUGCAUGCACACACACACACACACGAAUUUCAAAUGUGAAAUUAAUCCCUGUGUAUUACAGAGAGGACCCACCCAAUACAUAACAUGACCGUGGGGAAAGCACAUUUGCUGGGAGCUCUGGGUUUCUAACGUUUUCAUGGACGAGAGCUCUAAGGACUGAGUCAGGGAAUUUGGGUAGAAGCCUGAGGCUUGAGGGAGAUGGGGGAAAUUUAAAAAGAGAAGAGACAUAAUGCAGAGGCUCCAAGUGCUGCUACUUGGGAGAAAUGGGGCCUGGGGUAUCCAAAGCACUAUCAGCAGAGGGGUCUGUGUGUAGCCUCAGCUGGGGUCCCUGCAGGAAGAAAACCUUGAGCAGCCCAAAGCGGGUCCCAGGGAGGAGGGAUGAAUGUGGCUCAUGUCCAGUUGACAAGGCUCAACCCUACAGAUAUGGUCCUAGUCCUUUGGCAUUUCAAAAAUUAUCAAUCCAAAUUGCUUUUCUUGCUCAUUCCAGAUGCCUCCAUAUCUGACUCGAUUACUAAGUACCAGGCCAUGUUAAAAAUAAACUUUUGGGAGUCCAGGGUGAUUUUUUUUUUCUCUUUUCUCUUUCAUUGUAAUGGCCACAUUCUCAUGGCCUGACAUUACUUGAGGUCUGGCUUAGAUUAGCCCCUGACUGAGAGACCCAGGCUAAUUUAGUGACUGCAAUUAUGCCUGCCUCUAAUCGAGUUCUGCUCUUUGUAGCACAUGUCCUCUGAGUUGUUUUUCUCCAAUAGAAGCUAUGGCCGUGCCAGGCCAUCUAUACCUUCUUGCCCCAGGCCUCUGAUGACAUACAUCGGUGAGACAACUGGCCAGGAUUAGGGUUAUGAUCUGUGACCCUGAAACAGAGUGAAAUUAAUUGGCAACCAGGGGACUGAGCCCAUGAAAAUCAUAAGGGCCGUAAGUACUCUAAUAUAUGACCCCAACUGCUGCAGGCCCGCACCUGCUGCCCAGCCACGAAGAUUCUUUCCAAUAAUAGAAUUCAAAAAGGAAAACAAACUUUCUCUAAGUGCCAGCGUUUUUGCUUGGGGUCUUUUGCAGGUAGUCUUUGGACUUGAGAUGUACGUGUCAAGUCAGCAUUGACGAUAAUCUUUGAUCUCAGCCUGCAGAGCCUCGUGGAGAGGAAAUAAGCGGCAUAACUUAAUGCCAGCGACCUAAAACAAUGUGUAGUCAUCAAUGAGAGUGGGUGGGUGCAAGGGUGGGUUCCCCCCUUCUCUGGGUAAAACAGCACAAGUAACAAGUUUAGGGUUUCUAAAGAAGAGAUGGUACAUUCAAAAUCAAUCUAUUCUAAAUCCCUAUAAAAUAUGCAUUAAGAAGCGCUUCCUCUGGAGCACACCUGAAUAUUAUUCAUUAACAGAAAAAAAUAGACGCUGCAUGCUAUCUUGGAAACCACCCUCCUGCGUCUAGAUUCACAAAGGAUACCAGGAAGGUUUGCACAUGUGCACUAGAGGGAGUGGGGCAGAGGGAGGGCCAAGGGCUCUCCAUGCCAUUAUCCAGCUCUGUUUCAUUCUUCCUGGGGAGGAGGGCUUGGUUGAGAAGCCACAGGAGGCUGGAGAGUCUUAGAGGCUGAGGGCAGGAAGGGGAGGAAGUGAGCAAGGGGGCUGGUGCCUGGGAGGCCUCCGGGAGAGUAACCAAUUCCUUCACUGGGGGCAGGUGGGAGUCUCCAGGGUCAUUCUGGUGCAACCUGUGAAGGGAGGAGAGGAAAGAGGUUUCCGGAAGUCUCCAGCUCUCCCUCCCGCCUGCCUCCCUCCUUCCCCUAGCUGCUGGUUGCAAGGAGCAGCGGAAGGAAGGAUGUAUCAAACUGAAAGAAGAAAGAACCCCUGCCAGCUGGCCCCCAUGACCCUAGACGCUGAACGGCAGCAGUGUGGGGCAGCACAGGCUUCGGAGCAGCAGCAGCCGGGCUGGGAGGCCAAGCCGACUCUGCAAAAGUUGUUUUCUUUAGCCGAAAAGAAGGGAGGCACAGGUUUCAUAUCAAAGGAAUGUGACAUCAGGGCCCGGGCUGUGGGGACGAUGUCCGUUAAUCCCCAGCUGGGUUUCUCCACCUCCUUUCUGAGGUCCUUCUAAAAAAUAUGCAGGUAAAAAUGAGGUCUGGCUCCAACUCCUGCAGUUAGUGAUGCUUAAUUUCGAUUUUGCAUGGACUCCCCGUAUGGGAGGAGGGACUGUGAAUUUUUUUUCUUUAUGAGUGCAUUAUAGUUAUACAUAAUAGUGGGUUUUAUUUUGAAAUAAUCAUACAAGCAGGGAACAUAAUCUGCUCCAUUUACAGUCCCUAGUACUUCCUCUUUCCCUCCCUUCCUUUCUCCCCCCAUUCCUUUCCUCUACUCUACUGGCUAACUUCAAAAUUAGCGCUUUAUAGAUAUACGUAGAGGUGAGAUUCACUGUGGCCUGUCCAUGUAUCCACAUAGGGUAGCUUGGCCAGCCCAUUCCAUCUCACCUCCCGUUUCCCAGUCCUUCUCCCUCCCUAUCUCUCUCCUUCCUCUACUCCAUGGCUCUUUCUGCUAUCAUCAUAGGAGAGGUGAGUCUUAAUGAGCUUUAACACACAGGGCAUGGAGGCAGGGGGGGAAGGGCAAGAGAAGGCUUCAGAAGUUUCUUGGGGAUAAAUGACGGGUUUGCAAAUUCGCCUUUAGUCAAGGGACAGCUGGGAGCACCAGCGGCUCAUGCUCUUUAUUUCUACCACUUUCAUCCACCCGAGCAAAGCUGUGAGGACAGGCAAGCCUCUUCCUCCUGAAUUCCCAGGUACAGGAAGAGAGACUGUGAGUAAAGGAUGCUCUUGAUUAUGCAGGAUGAAAAGGAACCAAUUUGUGGUCGUAAUACCUAUUUCUGCACAUUCUCCAGGCUUGCCUAGGAGAGUUCUGGGAAAAUGAGUCAGAACUGGUCAUUAUUGAUGUCCAUCCUGUUCCCUGACUUGGUUGUCAGUGUUUUCUCCAAUCCCCAGAGCUCACUGGGGGGAAAUAAGGGUUGUUAUUGGACAACUAGCACUUCCACAUUCUUCUCAGUGGUUUUGUGUCUGCUAGCUCCCAGGAAGCUGCUACUACUUCAUUUUGUUUUGUUUUUGUUUUUGUUUUUUGCCUCUUAAAGCAAAGAAACUUUUAGUUCGCUCUCUUUGGAAUGUGUCAUUGCUGGAUUGCUUCUCUUCUGUCCUACAAAACCCUAAUCCUCUUAUUUUUUGGUUGGGGAUGGGUUGGAAUUGGGGGGCAUGGCUGUUGGAGAUGGAGGGCAUUUGGACUAGGCCUUCCUCUGACAGCCUGUACAUCUUCAUUCAUCUCCACAACUUCUGUAAGAGAACGAGCCUCCAGUCACUCACUGAUCCUUUUAGUCAUGCAAGUAGCCAUCCUGUGCUUUGAGUAGAAUAAGGCUGAACAGCAGCCUUAAAAUGUCUGUCUACUGAAAGAUAGCCUUUCUUCUCCCACCAGCCCAGCCAGGCUUUUGAGAGAGUGUUUCUUGGGACCAGAUGGAGAAGGCAUGGAUCACUCUGUGGCAGGGGAGCUCUGUCGAGUCCCUACCCUUCCCGAGCUGGAGGUGAUGACAGGGAGAUGCAAAAUCUCCCCCAGGGGAUGGAGAAUGGGGCUUUUGAGAAUCAUGGCACAACAGUCAUGUGGAGCAAGCACACAGCAGCUCACAGAAAGCCUCCAGGUGCUCUUGGACAUGAGCAUAAUGGCACUUCCAAAGUCCUGGACACACGGCGGGUUUCUCCUACCAUAUUACAGUGCUCACCACUGUGAUAUCUGUGACACAACCUCCCAAAUGAUCAGAAGACCCAGUGAGACAAAUGAGGGCAGCUCUGAAAGCCCCCUGAAUUGGCUUUUUGCGCUGUGUUGGUGCUGCAGUUUAGAUCUUGAUCCUUCCGCAGAGGCCCAGGUGUGGAAGGCUGGGUGGCCCGUCCAUGGCAUUCCUAGCAAGUAGUGGACCCUGUAAGAGGUGGGGCCUAGUGGAAGGAGUUAGGUCUCAGGGGGUGUGCCCUUGAAGGGGGUCCUGGCAUCCCUCUUCUUUCUCUUUGCCCCACUGAGUGUCCUGCAUGGAGAAGUUCGCCUCCCCACAGGCCUAAGAAGUAAUGGCGCCAUGACUGUGGAUUAAAACUUCUGUCUCUGCAAACCGAACUAAGUCUUCCCUCCUUUGUGGAUGUAGUUCAGGGGUUUUGUCACAGCGAUGGGAACCUGACGUGGUUGUUCACCUGGUACCGUGGUCCAAAACAGAGACAAAACAGGAACUUAGAAAAUCAGAAGAAAGUGGGGGUGUAGUGCACACCCGUAAUCCCAGCCCCUCUGGAGGCUGAGACAGGAAGAUUGCAAGUUCAAGGUC